UGAUUCAGAGAACAGUUGCAGAAUAAGUGACUGUGGGGUUCGUAUGCUCAUAACAAACAAAACCCUCCUCUGCCCAAGUUUCCGUCACUGUGCUGAAUUAAUUAUUGCUUUCGCCUAUCAAGAUCCCGAAUUUCAUAGAACUGGAACCAUAACACUACUCGUUUGGAUUAAUCAUAAUCCAGCUACUCACAGGAAGAACUCCAGCAGGUUUAGCGAGUGAAGUGCGCAGGGCUGUAUCCAGUGGGAAAGUAGCAUCCAUAUUAGAUUUAUCUGCUGGUGAAUGGUAAAUAUAUGUUGCUAGGAGAUUGGUGGACCUGGGAUUGCAAUGUUGUGAAUUGAACAGUCGGGAUAGACCUGAACUGAGUCCAACUCUCGUUAGGGAGCUGGAGCGCCUUCCUGUUCUAGAAGAGCAACCAGUACCAUCUUUUUUCUUAUGCCCAAUACUUAAAAAAAUAAUGCAUGACCCUCAAGUGGCAGCUGAUGGAUUCACCUACGAGGGAGAGGCAUUGCGUGGUUGGUUGGAAAAUGGCCACGAGACUUCUCCAAUGACAAACUUGAAACUAUGUCACUUAAAUCUCACUCCUAACCAUGCAUUGCAAAUUGCCAUUCAAGAUUGUCGUGUAUUUUGUUAAGACGUUGAGUUCCAUCUUAAAUGGUUAACCUUGUUAAGAGGAGUAGCACAAUCCUUUAUAAGAUGGUCUAUGCUUUCAUCUUUAUUCAAUGUGUGAUUUUAUCACUUAAGAUGUCCCACCACCUUGCAAGAUGGUGCCCCGUUUUAAGCAUAAUAAUAUCGAAAUUCUUAUGCUCUUUUUUAGAGUGUUAAUUCGAUCGAAUCGCUCGUUGGUAUUUAAUGGGAUUUGAUACCAUGUUGAGAUUUGGGACUUUAUCUUUAAAAGUUAACGUGUUAAGAGAAGUAGUCCAAUCCUCUAUAAGUUGAUCUAUAUUUUCAUCUUUAUUCGAUGUGAAAUUUUAUCCUUUAAAAUAUUUCAAGUUGUAUACAUUUACAUCUAGAUUAUGCUAGAACAUAGUUGUUGGUAUCUUUCGAUAUCAUUACUGUUAGGCAUUGUGUUACUAAUAGAAGCUGUUGAAUUGUCGUGUAAAACAAUUAUAGGGAGUCUUCCGGUUCCAUUGCUUGUAAAUUUCAUUUUUUUCCUGAACUAUGAUUGAGAUUGUUUUCUAUUUGGAAUAAGAUUUCUUUUCUUUUAA